CAUACUUAUAUAAGAGUAAAUGUAUAGUAUAUAGGAAUAAAACUAGGUUGCAGAGACUGGCACAUCUCUCACGUGGAACACGAUUCGUUGUAGGUUUGUUCAGUACCUUGUAUAAUAUAAUGGAAGUAUGGAAAGGAAAGGACGCAUGUAACCCUCCGGCAAAAAAGUCAUCAUGGGCUUCGAAUAUCGUUUUGCCGAUCGCAGGAUCAUUGCCAAUUCCCACGAGCAUCUUGAGAUCUCGACUGAUCAUGUGACAAGUAAAACAGUGGAAAAAUCUAGCUCGUAAAUAAUAAAUUUAGAAGGAAGGAAGGAAGGAAGGAAGGAAGGAAGGAAGGAAG